rnacentral:rRNA from 1 species
UACGUAGGGUGCAAGCGUUUGUCCGGAAUUAUUGGGCGUAAAGAGCUCGUAGGCGGUUUGUCGCGUCUGCUGUGAAAACCCGAGGCUCAACCUCGGGCCGCAGUGGGUACGGGCAGGCUUGAGUUCGGUAGGGGAGACUGGAAUUCCUGGUGUAGCGGUGAAAUGCGCAGAUAUCAGGAGGAACACCGGUGGCGAAGGCGGGUCUCUGGGCCGAUACUGACGUGAGGAGCGAAAGCCAGGGGAGCAAACGGG